rnacentral:rRNA from 1 species
UACGUAGGGACCAAGCGUUGUUCGGAUUUACUGGGCGUAAAGGGCGCGUAGGCGGCGUGGUAAGUCACUUGUGAAAUCUCUGAGCUUAACUCAGAACGGCCAAGUGAUACUGCUGUGCUAGAGUGCAGAAGGGGCAAUCGGAAUUCUUGGUGUAGCGGUGAAAUGCGUAGAUAUCAAGAGGAACACCUGCGGCGAAGGCGGGUUGCUGGGCUGACACUGACGCUGAGGCGCGAAAGCCAGGGGAGCGAACGGG